UGAGUCUUCUCCACCAGUCAUACAAGAAGAAUGGUCUAAUGCCUCCCAUCAAAAAGAGAGCUGGCCCAAGCAAGCACAGGUUACACCUGACGCAUGAGGACUUUCAGCGAGUUGUGAACUUCAUCAACAACAACGCAGAGGAUAAUGCAAUAGUAUUACCAGGACGCCACCCAGGACACAAACACUUUGGUGUAAAGCUGCUGCCAUCCCAUGUGGCAAAAAAGCAGUGUGGCAUCUCUACAAGGAAUUGAUGACAACACUUGGUGCACUAUCCUUCUGACCAUAUGUAACCAGGUCCCAUCUACUUUUUAACUCCUCGCAAGUGUGGCUUGUUUGGUGUCUGCUGUGAAGGAAUACCACAACAAGUCAAUUACUUGAUUGAUGAAAGCAUGUCAUCCAGCAAAGACAGCAGCGCAGUCAUCAACUACAUGCACCAUUUCUUCACCAUCUACGGAGUUGGGGAAACAUGUGUGGACCUGAAUUGUGAAAACUGCAUUGGCCAAAACAAGAACAAGUUUGUACUCUAGUAUUGUGCUUGGUGGACCAUGCACAAGCUCCACCACAGUCUGGACCUUCACUUCCUGAUCACAGGCCACACCAAGUUUGCCCCGACAGGUGCUUCGGUGCUGGUGGAAAGCAAUGGCUGGCAACAACACCUGACUUAGUGCUUCAGGCCACUGCCACAGUUCAAGCAGUACCAGCACUUCAGCUUUGAUGCUCUGGAGCCUGGUGUUGUUGUCGCCAAGGAGCGUCCGAACUCCGUCAGGACCAGGUUUCACCUACUGCACAACGCUGACAUCCUUCCUCCCAUAGAUGGUCUGCCUGUACAAGCACCACCUGGACUGGACACAGCUAG